CCUUAUGGAUGAGCAAAGAAAGUGGUCUCUUGAGAUGGAAUCUGCUCCUCGUGAAUAUAUUGUGAA
rnacentral:pre_miRNA from 1 species